rnacentral:lncRNA from 10 species
CCAGGCUCUGAGUUGAGGAAAAUUGGAGUUAAAUUUCAGUGAAGUAACCCUGAGCAAGUCAGUCUCUGUCCAUCAGGUUCUUUUGUUUGUAAAAUGGAGGUAGCCAUGAGGAUUGUUCUGAGAAUGAGUUAAAUGGAAAGAUAUGCUCAAGAUGCCAGCGCAAAGCCAGAGACUCAAGGUUCGCAGCUGGUUGGAGCAAACCUCAAUGUCAGUGUGAAUCUUCCACCAUGGGAUUCAAGCUGCCUUGGCUCUAAAGUAAGAUCACAGCUGCAGUGAGCUGACCCCAACUCAAGAUGGAACCAUCUUAGAACAAGCUCUUAGGAUAAAAAGCCAAAGCUCUCUAAUGUGUUCUGUGAUAAAGAAGACUAUGGAACUGACAGUCCAAACCGAGAAACUGGGGAGAGAGAGGAGGCAUUAUUGUCAACUCCAGGUCAUCCAACCUGUUUUAAGCUUUUUGUCAGCAAGAACCAGCCCUAUUUUAUUCAGCCCUGGAGCGGCCUCUCCACCAGGCACACAGCUUAGCACAAAGCAGGCCUCAGAUGCACGCUGGACAAAUGUGCUGGUAUCCUCUGCAUCCUUAUGGCCAGUAAGGUUUUCUGGUUUCACUUCCAAUAGUUUACAUUAUUAAAAGAGAAAUGGUAAA